rnacentral:lncRNA from 1 species
UGGAUGGUAGACUACCAUAGAAAUACUUCCUCCCAUAUGUACAAGGAAGCUGGACUCAAGUAUUGCUCACUUUGGAAAAAUGCCCCUGCAAGUUCCUGAAUUUCUUUGGCACGCAUAACAGAGUGGACAGAAGCAUCUCAAUCUUCACGUGUGGUGGUGUUGGGCCAGGUACAGCCUGCCUACAUGGAUCAUGUCUCCAGAGACACUGCUUACUGCUUUGGGUAAAGCAGUGGCAGUGGAGAAGAAGCAUUUACCUGAAUAUCUGCAAAAUGCAAGCAGAAGGAAAGCUGUGGUUCAAGGUGCUGAAGAAAUGCCAAAGGACAAGCUAAUGCUGCAUGUUGCUAGCCACCUGCUGCAGGAUACUUCACCCAUUUGGAGAACCGUGCAUAGAACACUACCACCUUCAGUCAGCAGGAUGUGUCUGAUACGAGAGCUGCUACCUGCCACCUGAUGUGUCUCACCCUGGGAGACAGGACGAUGAAGUAAUGGAGCCUGGCUGUCUGCAGCCAGGGCUGC